GGUUUUAUGUAGAGAGAUUAUGAUAUUAGGAUACUUUCUGUCUUAUCUAUCCCUUUCCUAAUCAGAGCUAGCACAGGUACGUCUACCUGAGCUGGAAAUUACAUCUUCUAGCUACAGUGCAGACAUAACAAAACAAAUGCUUUCACCCUCUUCUGCCACCAUCAAUUAACAAUAGAGCGAGUCCAAAUUUUUUUAAUAACCGUUUGGUUCAGCACUAGGGGGAGAGGUUUAAAUAAAAAAGAAUUCACCAGUUUUACCCCCACAAAAUACUUGCAACCAGUUUUAUCAAAAAUGAAAUAGUUGUUACAAUUUUUAGUUCAGCCCAAACUGGAUAUUUUCAUAAAUGAACAUUUUAAUAUCAUUUUAAAUAAAAAUGUAGAGUACAUCACGUAUGAAAAAAAAUUAAACGUCCACCCUGCAAAAAAAUGUAAAAUGCUGUGGAACUUCAAACACCACAAAAAACUUUUCCAAUCAGGUCUAGUUACCAAUCUGUUGGCAGCCAGGACGGGCAGGAAGUCUGUACGUGACAUGUUGGGAUUGGAUGCAGAGCUGUAUCCUCAGCCUAGCAGGAGCUGCACCAGUCGGUGAAGUAUGCCUGCUGUACCCUGCUAAAACGUGAGGAAGGCUCAUUUGUUAUGCAAAUGUCUACUUGAGCCUGGCAUGUGCAGUGGAAAGCUCUUUGAAUUAUUUUAAGCAAAGGACAAAAGUUUGUUCCCCUCCCCUAUCAUCUUGGAUCUUUGAACAAACAAAAUAAUAAUUAAAAAAAGAAAGCUCUAGCUGUGUGAACCCUCUGAAGAAGAUACGCCCUCUGCUUUCCUGGCAAGAGUCUAUACAGCCAGGGAUACACAAGCAGUUGAAAGAUAGAACAAUUACAGAACUGUAUUGGAGGUGGGUCUAGGUUUCUUUUUCAUAAUGGCAGCACAAACUAGUCAUCCUAUAGCUUUAUCUCCAGGAUUAUGCUGGGGCAGAUGGCACAUUUUAAAGGGAUAUUCCAGUGCUAACAGGAAGACAGUCACUUCCUGACUGCACAUACACUGUGUACCCACCUAAACGUUUCCCAGUUUGCUUCUUGUUUGAAAUGAGGCUCUCAGGGUGAUGGGGAGAGGUUAGUUUGGACAAAUGAAAAGCAUUGGACUAAAUGUUCCAGCCUUGCAGCCUCACAGCUGCCAACGAUCCACGUUUGCAUGUUGCACCCGCAAUGGGCCCAUUUGCAAACAUGCAGGAAAGAAAUUUGAGUGCCUGAGUUCCGUUCUUUUGCGCAGAAGUUCCUUUCUGCCCCAGUAAACUCCUGGUUUGAACAUGCAGAUGAGUGGCUUCUGGAUGCCAUGGUUGCACGUUGUUACUGCUAUUCAUAUAGUGUGAUGAUGGUGCAUGGCAUCUAAAAUUGAUGUCUUUCCCUUUUGGAACAGCUUACAAGCUGUGGGCCUGAUCCCGCUCCCAUUGGACUCAAGAGCAGAGCUACAGCUGAUUACAAAAGGAAUCAAAUAAUGAGGCAAAGGCACCAUCGGAGGCUGCAGCACUGACAAUAUACUUGGAGCUUACGUGCCACAAAAUGAAGGUCGUUCCUGCCCCAGUAACACAUUUACAAACAGAGAAGAUGGACAUUGGGAAGAUCAGCGGCAAGAGGAACUUGGAGUGAUGGAUUCUGUGUGAUUUGUUUCCAUGUCUUUUGGGCAUCAAGGCAGAAGUGAGUCCAUAGACAGUGGCCUGGAGGCUCCAGGGAUGCUAAUGCAGCACUUUUCACCAACACUCUAUAUUAAAAUCAUUAUUAGGUAUCCAUGAAUCAGCAGGAAGCAACAACAAAUGAGUGCAAUGGAAGGGUAUCGAAACAUACCAGACUUUGGGGUUUCAUUCGGUAUGUCCACUUCUAAUCAUAGAAAGGAAAUAAAGGCCAAUGAUUUUCAUUCAUUGUGUGGAAGAGCUAAGCCCAGUUUAAUCAGCCCCAGGUCUAUUCCAUUAUCCUUUUCAUCAAGCAGGUUUUGGGUAUAAUGAAGAUGUGACACACACAAGUGCUGGCAAGGGAGACUGGUGGCAUUUUCUUUUGGCUGGAGUCAGGAAGUAAUGUCAUGUGGCAGGGGUCAAGAUUCCACUGACUCCAAAGCUUUCUGUUACAGGGAGCUAAAUGAUAGAAUAAAAAGGAGUCCAUCUUUUUUGCCUGAUGCUAAGAACUUUGCUCAGUUGGCCAGGUAUGCAAACUAACCAGCUGGCUCCAUGGGCUCAGAGUAGGCUCCAGCUGUCUUCUUGUUAGCAUUCAAAUGAAAUUAUUCUUUCUGUUGCACUAGAGGAUUCAGAUCGCAGAUCCCAGUUUGCAGGUGCAGGGAGUGAUUUUGCUGACUCGGCCUGGUUUCCAGACAACGAGAGUAUCCUCAUCUCAAUUCAGGACCAUGAAAGGCUGGGAAUUUCUCGGAGGUAAGACAGAGCCAAAGGAAAGGGGAACCUGAGUCAGAGAGGUUGGUUUGCAAACAUGCCAAGAACACACAGCUGAAGUCACUGGGAGCUGUGGGUGCUCAGAACCUCUGAAAAUCAUGCCCGAAGUAUCUUACCUUAAACCACAUCAUGUAGAUCCAGAAUUCGCAUUUGAGGCUUCCUGGCUCCCAGCUCCCUGCUGCCGCCUAGAAUUUUAUAUGACCUGUGGAAUUGGCCAAAUGACAUUAUGCAGUAGCCAAAACAGACACGGAAAACAGAAUCCAGUGUUCUCCUUGGCACAUGCCCACUCUGCACUGCCUGAGGCUCCCAGGUACAAACACAUUCUGUGUUCUGCCAUCUUCAGCAGCAUGAUAACACUCCUUUGGCCAAGUCUGGUGAGCUCAGAUCUGGAGGAGGCAGGGGACCAGUGUGAGGAGGAGUAGGGGAAUGUGGGGAAAAAAACAACCCACCAAACGGAGGCAGGGUUUUUGUCUUUCAGAAGCUGCAGACGCAGGCAUCAUUCAGUGCUGUGCCGCUUGGCAUACGUGACGCGCUGUGACAGACCUGGCUCGGCACAUUAAAUAAUACUUUAUUUUUUAACUUGUAAAAAUAAAAUGUGGUCCCGCAAGGAUGAGCCUUGUUAUGCCCAAAGUUGUGCUGGGAGGGUGGCAGCAUGUGGAAAAUGUAACAACAUGGACACUAACAAACACCACUAGCAGUAGGAAUUAUUUUAAGACUUAUCUCACUACACUGGAAACAAGCCACACUUCAGCUCAGACCCUUUGAAGGCCAUUGAGGUUUAUCCAUGGAAGGUUGGUGAUGGGAGAGGGGGAUUUUGUAAUCAUGGCUUUUUAUCUCUGAGCUGCUGGAGGCUAGGAAGACACUUCUCCUUUGGGUAUGCUAGUCCAUAAGUAUAAUUCUUCAGGGUAGGGAGGUUAUACCUUCCUCUGAAGCAUCUGAGACUGGACACUGCUGGAGUCUGGAUUCAAGGCUAAAUAAAGCAUUAUGAUCAUCUCAACAUAUUGACAUAAGCCAAGUCUCACAAGUAGUAGGUGAAACCACAUGUCUCAGCCAAAAUCAUAGCUUAGGUUUUCCUGUGGGACUGACUGAGCUGCGGACUCAGUCCCAAAGAGAGCCUUGCGGUCCUUCAGUUAUCCAAAAAUCCAGAUCCAGCUCAGCUCAGUGAUGAUUUACUGACUGGGUGUCCUUGCGAAAUGAGUUUCAACCUAGCGGGUAGAUGUCCACGUCGCAACGAAACACAAAGCCGUUUUGUACUAACUGGCCGCCCGACUGGUAGUCUCAACUAGGGAGACCAGACAGCAAGUGUGAAAAAUUGGGAGAGGGGGUAGGGGGUAAUAGAAGCCUAUAUACGAAAAAGAUCCAAAAAGCAUGACUGCCCCUAUAAAAUCGGGACAUCUAGUCACCCUAGUCUCAACAGAGAAGCCAAAGACCCAAUGACAAUUCUCUUGUUUAUGGUGUCUGUCCCAGCAUCAUAGGCAUGUUUUCACAAAACGUUUCAGUGAAGGAGAUACUCAGGUCUCUUGCCAAACUUUGAGUCUGAUUUCCAAUAUCCUUUGGUUAGUUUUUUGCAGGCAUGCUCUCUAUAAUAGUAUCUAUUAGUCAUUCUUCAGGGGCAUAAUGUUAUGGCCAGAAGGGACUAUUAUGAUCAUCUAGUCUCAAUUUCUGCAUAAUACAUCCCAGCGAACCUCAUUGAGUAAUUUCUGCAUCAAACCCAUAUUUUCUGGAGGAGCUAGAGCAUAUCUUUUAGAAAGACAUUCCAGUCUUGCCAACAAAGACUUGUAAGGGAUUUGUUUCCAUCUCUUGAACCUUUGGUUAAAUUACUCCAAUGGUUAAUUACCCUCACUGUUAAAAAUUUCCCCUUAUUUCUAGUCUGAAUUUAUCUAGUUUCAGCUUCCAAACACUGGAUGGUCGUUAAAAAAAAAAUUCUGCUAAUUUAAAGAGCAGUCUACUUCUUUCGAUAAUUCUUAUGGUGUACACAUGUACUAUGGGAGAGUAAUGUAUAUAGAUGACUAAAUCAUGAAAACAUCUUGAUUAUAUAUGGGUAUAUUUCUUGUCUUACACUGAAAAACGAUGUCAUUUUACUCACUUCAACACCUGUUCUUUGCUUCUUCCCACCAGUUUGUCUGUAUUUUCCACUGUUCUUGAUGACCUCUCUUUUUCCUCAUAUUUGUUGCACGAUUUAGUUUUUCACAUUUGCUGAAUACUAUAAUUCUUUUUGCAUUGUACACACCUUUCAUGGAGGUAUGUCUACACUGCAAAAAAAAAGUGUGUUCUUGACUUGAAUUAGUUUAUUCAGGUUAAAAUAGCAGUGAUGACACAGCAGCUUGACUUUUAACUCAGGUUAGUGACUUGAAUUAAAGGCUGUUGGGUAGCUACUAAUCCAAAUUAAAAGCAGAGAUGCUGUGUCUUCACUGGCAUUUUAAUGUGAGUUUGCUAACACAGGUUUGCACCCAAGUUAGGAACCUACCUUUUAUUUGCAAUGUAAAUAUACACUGGGGUAUGAUUGUAGUCACUAAAAUGUAAUCUAUAUUUUCUCUUUCAGAAAAAUUAAUACAUCU